GAGUUUGAUCCUGGACUCAGGACGAACGCUGGCGGCGCGCCUAACACAUGCAAGUCGAACGGGCGGGUCCUCUUCGGGAGGCCCGCGAGUGGCGAACGGGUGCGUAACACGUGAGCGACCUGCCGGGGGGUGGGGGAUAACUCCGGGAAACCGGGGCUAAUACCGCAUGCGCUCUGCUUCCUGCCUGGGGAGCGGAGGAAAGGUCUCGCAAGGGGCUGCCCUUUGAGGGGCUCGCGGCGUAUCAGCUGGUUGGUGAGGUAACGGCUCACCAAGGCGACGACGCGUAGGGGGUCUGAGAGGAUGGCCCCCCACAUUGGGACUGAGAUACGGCCCAGACUCCUACGGGAGGCAGCAGUGGGGAAUCUUGCGCAAUGGCCGAAAGGCUGACGCAGCGACGCCGCGUGCGGGAGGACGCCUUUCGGGGUGUAAACCGCUGUCAGGGGGGACGAAGGUCAGCUUUGGGCUGGCUUGACGGUACCUCCAGAGGAAGCACCGGCUAACUCCGUGCCAGCAGCCGCGGUAAUACGGAGGGUGCGAGCGUUGUCCGGAAUCAUUGGGCGUAAAGCGCACGUAGGCGGUGGGGUAAGUCUUGUGGUGAAAGGCCGGGGCUCAACCCCGGGCAGGCCCGAGAGACUGCCCUGCUGGAGACAGGCAGAGGCCAGCGGAAUUCCGGGUGUAGCGGUGGAAUGCGUAGAGAUCCGGAAGAACACCGGAGGCGAAGGCGGCUGGCUGGGCCUGAUCUGACGCUGAGGUGCGAAAGCGUGGGGAGCGAACAGGAUUAGAUACCCUGGUUAUGCACGCCGUAAACGAUGGACACUAGAUGCUGGGGGGAUCGACCCUCUCGGUGUCGUAAGCCAACGCGUUAAGUGUCCCGCCUGGGGAGUACGGCCGCAAGGCUGAAACUCAAAGGAAUUGACGGGGGCCCGCACAAGCGGUGGAGCAUGUGGUUUAAUUCGAAGCAACGCGAAGAACCUUACCUGGGCUUGACAUGCUAAGGAAGCCCUCGGGAAACCGGGGGCCCUCUUCGGAGCCUUAGCACAGGUGCUGCAUGGCUGUCGUCAGCUCGUGUCGUGAGAUGUUGGGUUAAGUCCCGCAACGAGCGCAACCCUUGCCUGCUGUUGCCAGCGGAGGCUUUGAGCCUGCCGGGGACUCUGCAGGGACUGCCGGUGAUAAACCGGAGGAAGGUGGGGAUGACGUCAAGUCAUCAUGGUCCCUACGUCCAGGGCUACACACGUGCUACAAUGGGAGGGACAAACCGGAGCGAGGCCGCGAGGCGGAGCGAAUCGGAAAAACCCUUUCCAAGUUCGGAUUGCAGUCUGUAACUCGACUGCAUGAAGGUGGAAUCGCUAGUAAUCGUGGAUCAGCUACGCCACGGUGAAUCCGUUCCCGGGCCUUGUACACACCGCCCGUC
rnacentral:rRNA from 1 species